UACACUCCUGAUGUCCUCUUUUGGUCCUGU
rnacentral:piRNA from 3 species